UAAGACGGAAGGUGCAAGCGUUGUUCGGAAUCACUGGGCUUAAAGCGCGUGUAGGCGGAGUGGUAGGUGCCAUAGUGAAAUCCCUCGGCUCAACCGAGGAACUGCUUGGCAAACCCUCACUCUUGAGACAGGCAGAGGCGACUGGAACGUUCGGUGGAGCGGUGAAAUGCGUAGAGAUCGAACGGAACACCGGUGGCGAAAGCGGGUCGCUGGGCCUGUUCUGACGCUGAGACGCGAAAGCGUGGGUAGCAAACAGGAUUAGAUACCCUGGUAGUCCACGCCGUAAACGAUGCGCACGUGGUUCGGGGACCUCUGACGGUUUCCGUGCCGAAGCGAAAGCGAUGAGUGCGCCGCCUGGGGAGUACGGCCGCAAGGCUA
rnacentral:rRNA from 1 species